GAUGAAGAACGCAGCAAAAUGCGAUAAGUAAUGUGAAUUGCAGAAUUCAGUGAAUCAUCGAAUCUUUGAACGCACAUUGCGCCCCUUGGUAUUCCGAGGGGCAUGCCUGUUCGAGCGUCAUUAUCACCCCUCAAGCUCAGCUUGGUGUUGGGGCCGGCCCGUCACAGGGCCGCCCCUAAAAGCAGUGGCGGUGCCAUCUGGCUCUACGCGUAGUAAUACUCCUCGCGACAGAGUCCCGGUGGUGUCCUGCCAGAACCCCCCAUCUUUUUAAUGAUUGACCUCGGAUCAGGUAGGGAUACCCGCUGAACUUAAGCAUAUCAAUAAGCGGAGGA
rnacentral:misc_RNA from 1 species